CAUUGCUUGGGUACAGAAGAACUCUGAACAAGAUCAAGGUUCUAUCAGUGAUAAAUAAGGGAGGCUAAGAGUAAAGAAGUAUAACUUGACAUUUCUUCUGCAAGAAAAAAACAAGAAGAUGGUGACUUUCAAGACCUCAGUCAAUGACUAAAGUUCUGUGACCACAGUGAGCAUAUUACUGCGGUAACCAGGGCAGUAAUGUCAAGACAAAGGUCAGGGUUGGCUUUAAGAAAGAAGCCUGAGAACCGGAACUACAUAGAGGCCAGAAAAUCAGUGUCUACAUGCUAAAGGCAAUUUUCAGGAACAAGUACCAGGAGCAGAUCAACAAAACAAAGAAGAUCAACAAAACAAAUAAGGAAGGUGGUUUUAUGAACCCAGAGGGGCAGUGGUUAUGAGUUGUGGUGCCACUUUAUUCAACCUUAUCUGCUUGGAAGUUUUUCUCCUACACCAUUAAACCCCUCACUGAACCAAACUUUGUACAGACUGCAGCCAAGAAGGGCUGUAUUAUGGCUUUCUUGGACCUCUUCAUCCACAAAAAUAUUAAAAAUUGUA
rnacentral:lncRNA from 10 species